AAAAAAACCCAUUUUAACAACCUAUAUACAUGGACUAGGAAAAAUGGGUGAAAAAGUAGUUGUAAAUAAUUUCAAAAGUCUUGCAGGCAUUCCUGCAGGAACCAUCUCGAUUUUUAUUUAAUGUUUCAAAACGUAACGUUAUCGACUAGGUGAAGAUUCCAAAGUUCUUCUUAAUUAUUUUAAAUAAUAAACAUGACGAAUCAAGAUGGAGAAAAAGAACAGGUGAAAUAAAAUAUAAAAUAAAAACCAUUUAACCGAGUUACGGAAAAGGCGGACUAUGUGGGCUCCAGGACCGUCAUCAUCCGCAGACGGUGCUCCGGUGCUAGUAGUAGUAGUAAAAUUCUUCUUUAUUUCAUCAUUUUCUGUUCUACAAUUAUUAUUUUUCUACAUGUACAGUGCUCGGCCGGCUUGGCCCUCCAACUUCAAUUUUAAAUUUUCAUGUUUAUAUUGUUAUUUGAGUGUUAAUAUGAUAUAUCAUGACGGCCUUUAGGAGGCGCUGGUGUGGUUUUUAAAAUUUGAUAACCUAACUACUAUGUACACUAAUAUUUACAAUAAAAAAUUUGAUAACCUAGAUUGGAACUAGCGCCCUAAUUGGAGCCUGAUCCGAAUGCAAGCAACGGACCCUAAACUUUUCUUUACACUCACCAAAGCGUUCAUGUAAGGUUUUUAUUCCGGCCAGACGGUGGACCUCGGAUG